GCCGGCGUAGCUCAACUGGCAGAGCAACCGAUUUGUAAUCGGUAGGUUGGGAGUUCGAGUCUCUCCGCCGGCACCA
rnacentral:tRNA from 1 species